rnacentral:rRNA from 1 species
CAAUAGCGUAUAUUAAAGUUGUUGCAGUUAAAAAGCUCGUAGUUGGAUUUGUGGUGUGUCCAGUCGGCCUUUGCUCUCUGAGUGAUUGUGUUGUACUGGUCUGCCAUGUUUGGGUGGAAUCUGUGUGGCAUUAAGUUGUCGUGCAGGGGAUGCCCAUCGUUUACUGUGAAAAAAUUAGAGUGUUCAAAGCAGGCUUAUGCCGUUGAAUAUAUUAGCAUGGAAUAAUGAUAUAGGACCUUGGUACUAUUUUGUUGGUUUGCGCACUAAGGUAAUGAUUAAGAGGGACAGUUGGGGGUAUUUGUAUUCCAUUGUCAGAGGUGAAAUUCUUAGAUUUUUGGAAGACAAACUACUGCGAAAGCAUUUACCAAGGAUGUUUUCAUUAA